GCGGCGGCACGCAAGACCAUAUAAAGCUCCCGAGGGCGAGGAGGGAGGGGGCAGAAAUUGAAUCCGCCGGCCGCUCUCGCGCCCGCCAACGAUUUGCCCCGCUUUGCCCAACGGCCAAGCGAAAUUUCUCCAGCUGCCGGGUUAAAGCGAGGCGGCUCUCCUCAGACGAGGCUGGUCUGGAGUGUCAUGAGAGGGCGGCAAGCGGCUAUUCGGUUUCGUUCCUAGAAGGUGGUUCUGGUGGGGUUUUUCUGCAUCAGCAGGACUCAGCUCUGGUAUUGGAAGGAAAAUUCCGCUCAGCUCUGGCACAGAUUCAGACUUGCCCAUAGGAAAGCUCAACAAAUGGGGUCUUAAAAGAAUUCCCAGUUGCAUUAAGCUAUCACAGCAUCUCCAGAAUCCCAACUCUACGCAAAGCCUCACAUGCACCCUCUCAGCACAUCUAGUUGCCUCAAGUGCCUGAAGAAGAGGUGGGGGGUGGGGGCAAUGAACAACAGGACAAGAGCUGAGAAUAUCUUUGAUAUCUCUGGAUCAUCCCUAUACCUGGUGUGCAUGUAUUUGCAUUACUACCGUAAGUUAAAAGCUUACCCAAUUCUUCCAGAGCUUGUAAUUCUGCAGAGCAGCAAGGCAUCUCUGGAUAGAACAUGUAGCAUUCUUCUUUAUUUUCUGAGGAAACAAAAAAAAAAUCUUCAGAGAUAUGCUUUCAUCUACUUACCUUUGCCCUGGAAUUUCUUUAUCAAUCCCUGGAUGAAAAUCUGUCACACACAAUGACAAAGACAGCUAUAAGUAUAUAGAUAGAACCUCUGAUAUUUCUAAUAACUGAGUCUUGGGACCAACUGGCUCCGUUGAUGGGAAGCCUAUCUUUUACCAUAUGCUGCUGAAAGCGGCUGGGGAGUGCGGGCCGCCAACCAGCUGGGAGGUGGACGUGCAGCUCCCCUGCCACCGCCAAGAUGGAAAGGUUUCAGCAUCCCCUUUAUCAUCUUCACUGUCAUCAAAAACACUGUGUCACUACUCAGCUCAGGUACAACUGGAAACUGGUGCUGCAGCUUAGAAAAAUGGAAAAAUAGUUAUUUUAGAUCAAAAUUCUUUUUUUCCACUUCCGCAAAACCAAUUUGCACAGUAUAUACUUGGCAGUGGCUGGGGAAACUGCACGCUCGCCUCCCAGCUAGUUGGUGGCCCGCUCUUCAGCCGCUUUCAGCAGUAUAUGGUACUCCUGCGGCUCCUGUGGACUUUUCUACGAGGAGGGAGCAGGGACUGACUUGCUGCCUCAGUCCCUUCUCCCACCUGGGGAAAAGCCCGCAAUAGCCACGCGGAGCUUGUGUGCGGCUCUUGGGGGCUUUUCCUGCUUGCCUCCCCCUGUUUCGCUCCAUAAGAUGCACACACAUUUCCCCUUACUUUUUAGGAGGGAAAAGGUGCGUCUUAUGGAGCGAAAAAUACGGUAAUUAAUUCUAGUUAGUUUAGGUUUAGGGUUUUAGUUACCGGUAUAUCGAAAUGAUUGUAGAGAGCUGCACACACGGCCAACCAGCUGAGAGAUGGGCGCGCAGCUCCCUAGCCUCCAGACUGGUUGGUAGCCCGCACUCCCCAGCCACUUUCAGCAGUAUAUGGUAAAAUGUCGCGAAUAUAAGCCGCACUUUAACUUUUCAGGGUCUGAAAUUGGAAAACAGUGCAGCUUAUAUUCGGGGGUACUUCCUUUUAUUUAUCACUUACCUCCAAGAGGGCUAUCAGCAUAGAAAAGAUAAAAAUAAAGAAGACGACAAUCAUUUUUAUAACGUUGAUACUGGUACCCUCAAGCACCAGUAGUCAACUGCCGGUUGUCAUCUGUUGAGCAAGCUUUGAAUCAUAAGGGGAUAGAGAGAAGAAAGGUGAUUGGCUGAGUAGAUGAUGAUAUCAUAGGUGGAUUCUGUUAAGUCAUUGUAUAUUGGGGGUGGCUGGGGGAACAGCACGCCCAUCUCCCAGCUGGUUGGCAGCGUGCGCUCCCUAGCUGCUUGGCAGUGGGGGUGGGGUGGCACAUGUCCAACCAGCUGGGAGGCGGGCACACAGCUUCCCCAGCCACCGGCAAUAUACAAUGCCUCAACACAAUCCACCUAUGACAUCAUUACUCAGCCAAUCACCUUUCUCUCCGGUUAUGAUUUGAAACUUGCUCAACAGAUGACAACUUGAGAUUUUUUUAUUGGCGAGACCCAGGAGUUAAAGCAGGUUUCAUCAACCUCAGCCCUCCAGAUGUUUUGAAACUACAAUCCCCAUCAUCCCUGACCCCUGGUCCUGCUAGCUAGGGAUCAUGGGAGUUGUAGGCCAAAAACAUCUGGAGGGCCGAGGUUGAAGAAGCCUGAGCUAAGGCAUUUUUGCCUGCAACACUACUGGCUAAGGAUCUGUUUUAUCUGCUUAUUAGUUACCGUAUUUUUCACUCCAUAAGGCGCACCUAGUUUUAGAGGGGGAAAUCAAGAAAAAAAGCCUGUCCGCUUCUCCCAGAGCUUCUCGGGGCUGCCAGGGGAAGCCUGGGUCCACUCCAGCCCCAAAGAGCAAAGAAGUCAAGACAGCGAGCAGGAUCCAUCCCGCUGGCUGUCUUGGCUUGUGCCAAAGCCGCGCGCAGCCUCUCCCGGCCGGAGGGGCUGCGCACGGCUAUAGCAAUUCCCCCAUCUCCCGCAAAAGCCCACAGGAGCCGCACACCCUUUAAGGAGCGUGCGGCUCCUGCGGGCUUUUCUACGAGGAGGGAGAAGAGACUGACUGGCCGCCUCAGCUCCCGCCAGGCUCCCAAGGCUUGCAGAGAGCUUCCUGAAGCCCAGGGUG